rnacentral:rRNA from 1 species
GACGAACGCUGGCGGCGUGCUUAACACAUGCAAGUCGAACGGAAAGGCCCUGCUUUUGUGGGGUGCUCGAGUGGCGAACGGGUGAGUAACACGUGAGUAACCUGCCCUCGACUUUGGGAUAACUUAAGGAAACUGGGGCUAAUACCGGAUAGGAGCUCCUGCUGCAUGGUGGGGGUUGGAAAGUUUCGGUGGUUGGGGAUGGACUCGCGGCUUAUCAGCUUGUUGGUGGGGUAGUGGCUUACCAAGGCUUUGAAGGGUAGCCGGCCUGCGAGGGUGACCGGACACACUGGGACUGAGAUACGGCCCAGACUCCUACGGUAGGCAGCAGUGGGGAAUAUUGCACUAUGGGCGGAAGCCUGAUGCAGCAACGCCGCGUGCGGGAAGACGUCCUUCGGGUUGUAUACCGCUGUCGCCUGUGACGAGGCGUUAGUGACGGUAACGGGUAAAGAAGCACCGGCUAACUACGUG